rnacentral:rRNA from 1 species
ACGGGAGGCAGCAGUGGGGAAUAUUGCACAAUGGGGGAAACCCUGAUGCAGCGACGCCGCGUGAGUGGAGAAGUAAUUCGUUAUGUAAAGCUCUAUCAGCAGGGAAGAAAAUGACGGUACCUGAGUAAGAAGCCCCGGCUAACUACGUGCCAGCAGCCGCGGUAAUACGUAGGGGGCAAGCGUUAUCCGGAUUUACUGGGUGUAAAGGGAGCGUAGACGGCAGUGCAAGUCUGAUGUGAAAGCCCGGGGCCCAACCCCGGAACUGCAUUGGAAACUGUACUGCUAGAGUGCAGGAGAGGUAAGUGGAAUUCCUAGUGUAGCGGUGAAAUGCGUAGAUAUUAGGAGGAACACCAGUGGCGAAGGCGGCUUACUGGACUGUAACUGACGUUGAGGCUCGAAAGCGUGGGGAGCAAACAGGAUUAGAUGCCCUGGUA